rnacentral:rRNA from 1 species
GCGGUGGAGUAUGUGGUUUAAUUCGAUGCAACGCGAAGAACCUUACCUGGUCUUGACAUCCCGGAGACCCUUAGGAAACUAGGGGGUGCUUCCAUCUGGAAGAAUCUGGAGACAGGUGCUGCAUGGCUGUCGUCAGCUCGUGCCGUGAGAUGUUGGGUUAAGUCCCGCAACGAGCGCAACCCUUGCCUUUAGUUGCCAGCAGUUCGGCUGGGCACUCUAAAGGGACUGCCGGUGUUAAACCGGAGGAAGGUGGGGAUGACGUCAAGUCCUCAUGGCCUUUAUGACCAGGGCUACACACGUACUACAAUGGCCGAUACAAAGGGCAGCGACACUGCGAGGUGAAGCCAAUCCCGUAAAAUCGGUCUCAGUCCGGAUUGGAGUCUGCAACUCGACUCCAUGAAGUUGGAAUCGCUAGUAAUCGUGGAUCAGCAUGCCACGGUGAAUACGUUCCCGGGCCUU